rnacentral:snRNA from 1 species
AUAAAAUCUCUUCUAGUCAAAGU